rnacentral:ncRNA from 1 species
AGAUGAGAUAUCCCUACGAAAGUAGUAAGACCCCUUGAAGACGACGAGGUAGAUAGGGCAGAGGUGGAAGCAUGGUAACAUGUGGAGCUGACUGUUACUAAUCGGUCGAGGGCAUAACCGA